rnacentral:rRNA from 1 species
CCUACGGGUGGCUGCAGUAGGGAAUAUUGGACAAUGGGCGCAAGCCUGAUCCAGCCAUGCCGCGUGAGUGAAGAAGGCCCUCGGGUUGUAAAGCUCUUUUGUUGGGGAAGAAAAGCAUCUGGUUAAUACCCGGGUGUUCUGACGGUACCCAAAGAAUAAGCACCGGCUAACUUCGUGCCAGCAGCCGCGGUAAUACGAAGGGUGCAAGCGUUACUCGGAAUUACUGGGCGUAAAGCGUGCGUAGGUGGUUUGUUAAGUCUGAUGUGAAAGCCCUG